GACGGGGGGGGCAAGCGUUGUUCGGAAUUAUUGGGCGUAAAGAGCUCGUAGGCGGUUUGUUGCGUCGGCUGUGAAAUCCCGAGGCUCAACCUCGGGUCUGCAGUCGAUACGAGCAAACUAGAGUGUUGCAGGGGGAGACUGGAAUUCCUGGUGUAGCGGUGAAAUGCGCAGAUAUCAGGAGGAACACCGAUGGCGAAGGCAGCUCGCUGGGACGGUACUGACGCUGAGGCGCGAAAGCGUGGGGGAGCAAACAGG
rnacentral:rRNA from 1 species